UCUGAACUCCCAAUACAAUUAUACUUACCUUGAUUUCUCAAAUAUAUUCAAGAAUCAUGGCCACAAAAACCAUUGUUUUUCGUUUGGCUUUGCUUUCGUUGGUGUUUGCUGCCCUCUUUGCUCUUCAUGAAGCAACAGGCAACCAAAACAAUGGUACUCCAAACAGUAGUGCGCCUGGGAAUCAUGAUGUUGCCGAUGCAGUCCAUGCAAGAGAUCAUGACGUGAUUAGGGGAAGCAAAUUAAAUGUUCCAUUCUGCUACAGUUCUAACUGUCAUGUUAUAGGACCCUGUUGGUGCUGCCUGUUCAAAGACGUAUGCUGGGUCCUUCAAGCAACCUGUGAAGACCUUUGUCGUCGUACUACUACUGUCUCUACAAAAGGCCGCCUCCCGCCCCUUUAAAGCUCAUCGUGAUCUCAAUCCUCCAGCUAGCACUUUAUCAGAAUUAUUGCAUUGCAAUAUUAAUGUACACCGCAUGGAUAUUAUGUCUCAGUGACUAUGAAUAAAGAAC